rnacentral:rRNA from 1 species
GAUGAACGCUGGCGGCGUGCUUAACACAUGCAAGUCGAACGAAACACCUUAUUUGAUUUUCUUCGGAACUGAAGAUUUGGUGAUUGAGUGGCGGACGGGUGAGUAACGCGUGGGUAACCUACCCUGUACAGGGGGAUAACAGUCAGAAAUGACUGCUAAUACCGCAUAAGACCACAGCACCGCAUGGUGCAGGGGUAAAAACUCCGGUGGUACAGGAUGGACCCGCGUCUGAUUAGCUGGUUGGUGAGGUAACGGCUCACCAAGGCGACGAUCAGUAGCCGGCUUGAGAGAGUGAACGGCCACAUUGGGACUGAGACACGGCCCAAACUCCUACGGGAGGCAGCAGUGGGGAAUAUUGCACAAUGGGGGAAACCCUGAUGCAGCGACGCCGCGUGAGUGAAGAAGUAUUUCGGUAUGCAAAGCUCUAUCAGCAGGGAAGAAAA